GGCACCUUCGGACGGGGCAGCCAGGUUGCCGCUGGCAGAGAAGGGUGUUACUACACAGCGUGGAAGGGAGAGGGCAGGAGUGAAUGCUGUGAGCUCAGCGUCCACAGCACAGACGCAGGACUCUGGGUGGAUACAAAGGACACUCCAGUGGGGGCAUGUCUCCUAGACCUGGAUUCCACCCGUGAGUGAAAUUGUAAGGGACUUGACUUUCUCCGAUUCGUUUCCCUCAGCAGAAGACCCGCUGGGUCCAUGCAUGCUGUUGCAAAUGUAAGCUUCGAAAUGGAUCUUCUCGGGACUCUUGCUGGAGAGGACUCCUAGGCCAGGUCGAGUCCAGCCCCGCCCAGCUUGCGUGGCAACGCGUUUCCAGCGCCACCUGGUGGCCUCCAGGUGCCCACGCAGCCUAAUCGGGAGAGGAAAGGAAUUAGUCCCGGAGAGGGCCUGACCCACCAGCUGAGUCACUCAGGAUGUCCAGAUGGGCCAACUCUGCUCGCUCAGCCACCUGCCAAACGCCUGGGCCCCGGGAUUGAAAACAGAACCGGCCUCCACUCCGCCCCAGAUCCUUCCAGUCUGCCUCACCCUCUCUCUAGGCCGGGAGGGUGGGGGGGAAAUCCCCGCCUCCAUCCCGCCAUGUUUACAGCUCCCUCUCUUUCUCCUCCCUAAACCCUCAGGCUGCACACCCGUCGUCAACAAUCGCCCUCAAACCCCAGCUGGUGGCAGCAGGAGCCUGGACAGAGUGGGGAACACCGAAGGUGGGCGUGGCGUGAGGCUUGCGAGAGCUUGGGGGUGGAGCCUUUGCAAGGGCCACGCCCCUCCCCACCCUCUUGGAGCCUUUUUCCUAGUCAACCCCAGUUCCCAAGAAUUCCGCUGAGUCACUUCCGAAGCUGCAGCUGCAACCAAAGUGAGAACAGUAAGUGUCAUUCAAUUCUCUGAGCCGCGGCCCAGCACCGACCUGGGACACCCGACCACUGUCUGUCUCAACGCCUCCUCACGGGCCAGCGAGGCCACCCCCUACCCAUUCCCUGCCGUUCUCCCCACAGCCACUCCCUCCCGCCUCUUGACUGUUCACUAGCCACGCCUUCUGCCUGGCAUUUCCCCGCCCCCUAACCCUCAGCACCAGCAGCCUCAGCGUCCUCCCCACCGGCUCUGCCAAGGCCUCUGCUCCAUGGGGAUGUAUCAGAGGGUAUCUGCGAGCCUGACCUGCAGACGCUCGGAUGGGCACUUAAAUUAGCAGAGAUGUCCCGGUACAAACAGCAACCCGGGGCGCUGCUUGCUUCCUGGUACGAGUGGACAGGUGCGCGCGCUGCGUCCGUGUAUCUGUGUGUGAGGCUGCGGUGCACAGCGUGGGGACAGGCGUGCCUAGCGCGCACCCUGCGCAUUCCCUGCUGGCCUGGACGCCGGUCUUGGACCCAUUGUCUCUCAUCUCCAUGCCCACCCUUCGCAGGGAGGCCCCAAACUACAAUUCCCAGAACCCCUGGUGGCUCCGGAAUUCCUGCGGGACUCAGCCAGUAGGGGGCGCCGGGGCUCUUAACCUUUCGGGUGCGGUGGGCUGAUGUGGACCGUUUAGCAAGUAAUGAUACUUCGGGACGUCGACUAAGAAUGAUUUUUUUAAGCCUUAAAGUUGUGUUCUGUUUGCAUCUUUAACUUUUUAAAUUCUGGUAAAAUACACAACAUAAGAUCUGCCACCGUAACCACUUUCAACUGCAGGGCUUUGGCGCUUUCGCGCUGUUGUGAAAUAGCGGAGCGGACCUUUCUCAUCUUGAGAAUGUGAAACUCCGCAUCCCCUUUAAAUUCCCCUUUUCCCCUCCCCCAGUAGCCACCCUUCUCCUUUCUGUUUCUAGGAGUUUGAGCACUGUAGCCAGUUCAUUCAGUGGAAUCACACAGUAUUUGUCCUUUUGUGUGGCUUGUUCAUUUAGCCAAUGUCCUCAAGGUUCAUCCCUGUUGUAGUCGGAAUUUCCUUUCCUUCAAAGGGGGAGUUGUAUUCCGUUGUAUGUAUAGGCUACAAUUUGUUUAUCCACUCAUGGAUCAGGCAGAAUCGCGCUUUUAUUUUUGUUUUUUGGGUUCUUUUUAAUAAGAGAAAAUUUAUUUAGUCACAGAGAAGAAAUGGGCUCAGGAAACCAGUUACAGAGGCAUAAGGAAGAUCCUUGGAGCGUAGGAGAAGGACACAGGCGGGAAACCCGAGCCUUGGGGGAGAGGGCAGGGAAAAGCGCCAGGCAAGCUUGUGCUACUAGACAGUGCUGCACCCAGAAUCAGGCUUUUAAAAGCGUGAAAUAAAGUGCACAGGCGUACAAAGGAAACUUUACAAUUUGAUUCGGGUUGUCAACAAGUUCAAAGAACAACAUACGAGGCAGUAACAUAGAUGCAUUUCUCUACGAAUGCAUGAAAUUACAUUCAUCUCAUGCCUAGAAACUCCAGCCUGCUUCCAGACAGCUCUCUGUCCACCAGACCUGGAGAUUUCUGGUUACACAGUUCAAGUGAAGCUUCGUGCGUAAGGACUGCUGCGUAAGGCAACCCACUUGGGCUGCCCUCAGCCCUUGAAGACCAGGAGCUGUCCUCAGCCACAGAGGACAGCCACCCAGAGCCCAGGAACCAUGGCACUGCCUCACUGAUACAUUUCCCAAAGGCCUGCAGGUCACCCGUGACAAAUCACACCCUUUGAAUCCUUCCUCCCCGUUGUGCCAGGGAAGUUCUGGCCUGGCUGCCUCGCGGAAUGUAGGCCACUGAUGGGCUGAAACCUCAGUCUACAGGCCAAGCCACCUGUUGGAGGCGCAGCAGCCGCACAGCUGACUGUCUGGGAAGCGGCCACACCUGGAAACCCGGCCCAGUGCAGUGUCAUAAUUCACCUGGUUUCCUGUUGCUGGGAAUUAGCAACAUUUGCCUUUUGUUCUGGAGUAUGAACUGUUUCCUUCAGGGUCAACCUCGCCCUCCCAGCCCUAGGGCGUGCUGGAAUCGGACCCCAGUUCUGGAGCGGAAGGCCCCAAGGGGCGGAGCCUGCAAGAGGGCCCCUCAGGCCAGGGUGUUACUGGGGAAGAAUCCAGUCCUAACAUACCAGAAGGAGGGGCCUGCUCCCGCCAGCCCCGGGGAUGCAUCAUCCGGAUUCUCAGGGAGAGAAACGUCCCCACCAACAGGGUACUGGGACGCUGCAGUGCAGGCCAUUUGGUGGCUGGGUGACAGCUGGGCCCUGGGACAUGAAAGGACACCCUGCUUGCCUGAUGUUUUCCCACAGCCACUU